rnacentral:rRNA from 1 species
GAAUAUUGGGCAAUGGGCGAAAGCCUGAUCCAGCCAUGCCGCGUGUGUGAAGAAGGUCUUCGGAUUGUAAAGCCCUUUAGGUCGGGAGGAAGGGUUGUAACCUAAUACGUUGCAACUUUGACGUUACCGACAGAAUAAGCACCGGCUAACUUCGUGCCAGCAGCCGCGGUAAUACGAAGGGUGCAAGCGUUAAUCGGAAUUACUGGGCGUAAAGCGCGCGUAGGUGGUUUGAUAAGUUGGAUGUGAAAGCCCCGGGCUCAACCUGGGAAGUGCAUCCAAAACUGUCUGACUAGAGUAGGGUAGAGGGUAGUGGAAUUUCCUGUGUAGCGGUGAAAUGCGUAGAUAUCGGAAGGAACACCAGUGGCGAAGGCGACUACCUGGACUGAUACUGACACUGAGGUGCGAAAGCGUGGGGAGCAAACAGGA